rnacentral:rRNA from 1 species
GACGAACGCUGGCGGCGUGCUUAACACAUGCAAGUCGAACGGUAAGGCCCUUCGGGGUACACGAGUGGCGAACGGGUGAGUAACACGUGGGUGAUCUACCCUGCACUUCGGGAUAAGCCUGGGAAACUGGGUCUAAUACCGGAUAGGACCACUGCCUGCAUGGGUGGUGGUGGAAAGCUUUUGCGGUGUGGGAUGGGCCCGCGGCCUAUCAGCUUGUUGGUGGGGUGAUGGCCUACCAAGGCGACGACGGGUAGCCGGCCUGAGAGGGUGACCGGCCACACUGGGACUGAGAUACGGCCCAGACUCCUACGGGAGGCAGCAGUGGGGAAUAUUGCACAAUGGGCGCAAGCCUGAUGCAGCGACGCCGCGUGAGGGAUGACGGCCUUCGGGCUGUAAACCUCUUUCAGCACCGACGAAGCGCAAGUGACGGUAGGUGCAGAAGAAGGACCGGCCAACUACGUGCCAGCCGCCGCCGUAA